GGAAGUAAAAGUCGUAACAAGGUCUCCGUUGGUGAACCAGCGGAGGGAUCAUUACCGAGUUUACAACUCCCAAACCCAUGUGAACAUACCUGUCUUGUUGCUUCGGCGGCGCCCCCGGCCCUCACCGGCUGGGGCCCGCCAGAGGACCCAAAACAAACUCUUUGCAUUUGAAUACAGUAUUCUGAGUGGCAUGAUUAAAUAAAAUCAAAACUUUCAACAACGGAUCUCUUGGCUCUGGCAUCGAUGAAGAACGCAGCGAAAUGCGAUAAGUAAUGUGAAUUGCAGAAUCCAGUGAAUCAUCGAAUCUUUGAACGCACAUUGCGCCCGCCAGUAUUCUGGCGGGCAUGCCUGUUCGAGCGUCAUUUCAACCCUCAAGCUCUGCUUGGCGUUGGGGAUCGGCAUCCCGGCUUCGCGCCGCGCCGUCCCCCAAAUACAGUGGCGGUCACGCUGCAGCUUCCCUUGCGUAGUAGCACACCUCGCACCGGAGAGCAGCGCGGCCACGCCGUAAAACCCCCGACUUCUUGUUUUUGACCUCGAAUCAGGUAGGACUACCCGCUGAACUUAAGCAUAUCAAUAAGCGGAGGA
rnacentral:sRNA from 1 species